GGGGAGAUAGCUCGUGGCAUAGCACUUGCCUGGCAAGCACAAGGUCCUGAGUUUGAUUCCCAGUAUCUCCC
rnacentral:tRNA from 1 species